rnacentral:lncRNA from 1 species
UUUUAUUUUAGAAAUGAUGGCAGGAUUUUUUUUCCUGCCGCCUCUUCUAUCAGAACAAAAGUCUUGAUUUCAAAACAAAGAUGCUCAAUAUGAUAAUUUUUUUUUCUUCUCUCUCUCUGCUUUGGUGGAUUAGGAGAGAGGAAAGUGUCAUCAAUGACAUUGGAUAGUCAGCUAGACAUCAGAAAGGAACGUUCUCUAUUCAUUCAAGAACUUGAUCGUUUCAUCUUCUGCAGAAACGCCCUCGGGGUAUCUUCUGUUCACAACGAACAAACGGAACUUGAUAAGAUGGUUUCUUCUUUAGCUGGAUCAGUAAAAUAUGUCGCUUUAUGCAGCGAGAAAAACGUUUGCUUUAAAAGAACUUCUAUCCCCCUUUCUCUCUCUCUCUCUCUUUCUCUUUCUCUCUCUACUGGAAGAAAUACAAAGAAUUAAUCUUUUGUAGUUGGUGAG